GCGAACGCUGGCGGCAGGCCUAACACAUGCACGUCGAACGCACUCUUCGGAGUUAGUGGCGGACGGGUGAGUAACACGUGGGAACGUGCCUUUAGGUUCGGAAUAACUCAGGGAAACUUGUGCUAAUACCGAAUGUGCCCUUCGGGGGAAAGAUUUAUCGCCUUUAGAGCGGCCCGCGUCUGAUUAGCUAGUUGGUGAGGUAAAGGCUCACCAAGGCGACGAUCAGUAGCUGGUCUGAGAGGAUGAUCAGCCACAUUGGGACUGAGACACGGCCCAAACUCCUACGGGAGGCAGCAGUGGGGAAUCUUGCGCAAUGGGCGAAAGCCUGACGCAGCCAUGCCGCGUGAAUGAUGAAGGUCUUAGGAUUGUAAAAUUCUUUCACCGGGGACGAUAAUGACGGUACCCGGAGAAGAAGCCCCGGCUAACUUCGUG
rnacentral:rRNA from 1 species